CAGGGUGCAAAGGAAAAGAGCAGGCUUCCUAAACCGUGAACAAUGGCAAUAGCUCCUGGGCGUUUGGGUACAGAAUGGCUGCCAAGUUUUCACGGAUGGAAAGUAAACAUUACAUUUUACUGAGCCACCGAUUCGAGAGGGAGGCAGUCCGCAUCUUCCCAUCUGUUUUGUUGAAGCAUGCAGUGAACAUUCCAUGUACGUAUUUACACACAGCUCCAGUUAAAGGUGGACUGAAGCACACAGAGAGAUCAAAUAUUUGAAACUUCUUCUACAGAUUACUUUCCUGAUUAAGAGACAAAGGGGCACUGAGUCUAUGAAGAGCAGGCUUUUCACAAGCAGACUCUUAGGAAACGUGGAAUCGACUCACAUUUGAUUCGACAGAAUCCAUCAGGCAUCUGCUGCGAGUUGCUGCCUAUCAGGAUCUUCUCUAGUUGCAACCUCCUUUUACACGCCCAAGACCUCAAACCAGGAAAGAAAAGGACUAGGGAGAACAUCACAGUCAGCAGGAGCCUGAUUAUGAAAGGCGGUCAGACAGCUGCCAAGCACACUGGAACCUGCACUUCCCUCGGUAACUAUGAAUCAAAGUCUCCCUCUGCUGACCCAGCCUGCACUGCAUGCCAAGAGUGCUCAUCCGGGCCAGCUUCAGACGUGAAGACAGGAAGCGAGUGGGCUGCCCCGUGCCAUGUUGGUGUCAUAGCAGACCCUCAGGACGUAGUCCAUGUCUUUCUUCUCCUCUAUCCACCUGGCACCCUCGCCCUGGGAUUGUUACAGGAUCAGAUUAAGUUUGGGAGAGAGCCCCAUGAAGAAGACAGCUUUAGCAUGAACUAGAAGAGAGAUUAGAGAGUGGUUAGUGGUUAGUCCAGAGGCUGGGAACAACAAGGAAUAAGAGUUCAGAAAUGCCCAGGGUCAGUUUAAUCAGUUUUGGAGAAACGUAUAUAUAUAUAUCAUAACUGUUGUUAUCCAAAGGCAGCCACAGAUACUCUAUAAAAGACUAAGCCUUAGAUAUGUUUCCAUAAUCCUACUUAUAAAAUCAGGCAAUGGUCCAGGCCACUCCCUUGGGUCAGUUUGCCUAUCCUUGUCCUACCUAUAUUCAUGUGUGAGGAGCACAGCAUGACUUGCUACCAGUCUGGUAGUGCAGAGAGACUGAUCAGAUUAGAAAGCCCUGGUCUUGGGUAGGAACCUCUAAACCUGCUGCAUCCACCCACCCUCAGUCAGAACUUCUUACCCAGGGCCAUGUGAAGUUACCCUUUCAGUUGGUGCGUGUGAGCCUUAACUGAGGCCCAAAGCAUCCCACCUGCCAUGCUUGCCUAAGA